GAGAACAGCACUAAUGUAGCGCGAUUUGCUGGCGUGGAUGCAGUCAGUUUUGACCGCGAAAGAUGAGGUAGGCCUAAUUUGACGGAAUGUCGUGAAUUUACGGCAUUUUAUCUGCUAGAAAUACAUGCUCCGUUUUAAUGUUAUUUUAAGGUGGAUUAGAAUUAAACGAGCGACAAAACUCAGCAUUUUGUUCGCGUAACUUUUGGGCCCAGAUUUAGUAAGCAAACGAGCAGCGCAAUAUAAACCGUCGUAUACACUUCUGCGUCGUUGUCCGCGUCGACGUGCAUGCAGACCACUAGCAGGCAGUGUCCGCGGUCAUGUUGAGUCUCAAGGCAAAAGCCGAAGAAGAAGCAGCUUGUCAUGUACCUUGUCAGAGCAGCAAAUAGGUACGACUUUUGUUGCCGUUUGACUGCAUGUGUCCCCUGAAACAGAGCGUUUUUCAUUCCUAUGUAAGUUGAAAACGCUCGCUCGGCCUUGUAUUGCUCCGCGCCAGUUUUUUGACCUGAGGGAGUGGUUCUAGCAGACCAAUCACAGCGCUUGUGGUCCACGUAGAAUUGACGCGUUGUUACUUUUUUAAAGAGGUGCACGUGAGGCUACGUUGCGGCUACGCGUGCUACACACAGCCUACGGCGUACGCUCGACGCAGAAGUAUAAAUCAGCCUUUAGUCAUGGAAAAAAAGGUCGUCAACGAACAUUUUCCGUCAUAGUUUUCAUUAACGAAAUUAACACUGCUCCGCAACAGCGUUAAGCGAUAGAUUGAAGCACUUGUCCGUGUGAAGAAUGCGCAGUGUGCACGAGUGCCAAGAGAACACUGUUGCGCCAGAUUGCCUAUUAUUUAACACAAACGAACGAAUUGCUAAUCUACUAGAGAUGUUUCUUUUGUAUUAGUAUACAUCCAUGCCGCGGGAUGUUUCAAAAAGUGGUGGGGACAAUAUCGACCCUGGCAAACAGUGGUAGGGGCAUGUCCCACCUGUCCCACCCACAAAUUACGCCUAUGGUAAAAACAAAACAAAAAUAACGACUUUAUUCAACCAUUUGAAACGUAAUACGUAGUGAACUCAGUGCAGGCUUCCUUGUUUACGUCCGAAUGCCAACUCAGUAUUGGCUGAAGCUGAACACAUGAGCAGCACGACACAGGAUCUGGCCAAUAAUCCGUCAAAUUAUUACCCCCCUAGUAUUGGUAGGUUUAGGAUUAGGCAAUCGGGUAGCGACUUCAACGAGGGGGAUAAUAGUUUGGCAGGGAGUCAAAAUUCAGACACCGGCAUUCGGAUAUAAACAAGGAAGCCUGCACUGAGUUCACUACGUGUGACAAUGGUUCAAAUGAUUGAAUAAAGCCAUUAUUUUUUUGUUUUUGCACACAAAAAGUAUUCUUGUCGCUUCAUAACAUUAAGGUUGAACCACUGUACUCACGUUGGCUAUUUUAACCAUGUUUUUAACUACCUUUCUGGAUAUCAAAAGGUGCGAUGACAUGCCUAUGUGUGGAUCAGAUACCCUCGGAUUUCAUCAAAAAAUAUAUUAAUUUGUCUUCCGAAGAUGAACGAAGGGGUGUGGAAUGACAUGAGGGUGAGUAAUUAAUGACAGAAAUUUAAUUUUUGUGUGAACUAACCCUUUAAAUACACAGGGCAAACAAAUGAAAUUAAGGAGAGAGAGGUGGCAAUAAUGGGUAAUUAUAGAAACAAAUGAGUAACCAAGGAGACAGAGGGAAAACAUGAACACAGGAACUAUUAAACAUAACAUAAUCUGACAGUUGAUUCAGAGUUAUAUUUCAAGUAACUGCAAUUUGCACUGUAACUGUGUAGUUUUAAAAAGCAAUGUGAAAUACUGUGGCACAAUGUCACAGUGAACGGAAAAUGGACAGUUAAAAAAUGGAAAGUUAAAAUAAAAAUGUACAAUAAGUUCAUGCUGUAAUCAUACCAAAAAAAUUGAAGCCUUUUUCUCACUGCUUCAUUCAUCCUGCAGUGCAACAACACAUGAAUUUAGAGGUUUCUCUGAACAAUAUAUCAAGAGCUUCUUCUGGUUGGGUGCCUUAGUGACUUGAAGGACUGGUCAAACAAGGGGUUAUUAAUAAAACUAAGUGGUGGAUCAAUAGUAUAGGAAAAUUAGAUAAUAUCACAGCAUAUUCUCCUGAAUGAGUAUAUAAUGCUACGGAGAGUCAAUUUUUAUUUCCCCCCAAAAAGGGUGUAAAGUGUUUGGGCAAGAACACAAACAUUCCACAUUUUAGAUACACACAUUUCUCAAACUUAUUUGGGUGAGAGGGUGACCUAAAUUCUCCUGUCUUCAGAUGGAAAACCCCAAAUAACAAAAACUAUUACAGUCAAAUGAAUGAACAAUUAGUUGUCAGCAAGUAUACAGAACUUUCACUUCAGUUUUUUUUGUAGCUCAGCUCUUGUGAAAAAUGUCCCAGUGUAAGUUACUUGAUCACAUGUUGUUUUGUGGGCCAGUCAUAAGCUUGAUUUUCCAGUUUGAUGAGUUGCGAUGCCAAACUGGGCUGGCAUCAUUUAAGACAUUUACUGUAACUGCUUUAGGGCUCAUUCCAUCUCCAUGCCAGUGAAACAACACUGAAUGCAAAAUGCAAUACGACCUUGUGAUACACCUGGCCUUGUUGUUGCAUAUUUUGUUUGAAACAGUUCAUGGACAUUAUGGCUUCAUCCUAAUUCUCUGUCGAGUACUUGGUUCUCUACAAAAUGUUGAGUUCAUUUACUCAAUAUAUUAUGACAAAACCGAAUUGCUGAGAUUUAACAGUACUGAAAAUAAAGUUGUUGCUUACACUGAAUAUGCGAUGAAAUGGGCGGAUGAUUUUAAUAAAAACCCUGAGUGGCUACAUAAGGAGGCAGAGAAACACAUUGCCGAAUGCAAGUACUUUGGGCAAUUCCUCCAUAUGGAAGAAAAAACAGUAAAACCAGAAGUCAUUGUCCGGUCAGUAAGGCAGGCAAGUGGUAAAAGUCCAGCCAUGUUGAUCUGCAGUGCCUAUGACUUCUACCCCAAACCCAUCAAACUGACGUGGAUGAGAGAUGAUAAAGAAAUGACAACUGAUGUGACCUCCACUGAGGAGCUGGCUGAUGGAGACUGGUACUACCAGAUUCACUCCUACCUAGAAUACUUUCCCAAACCUGGAGAGAAGAUCUCCUGUGUGGUGGAGCACGCCAGCUCUCAUGGACCCAUGGUCUAUCACUGGGAUUCAUCUCUGUCAGAGUCUGACAGAAAUAAGAUGAUAAUUGGUGCUGCAGGGGUGGUUUUGGGGGUGAUUAUGGCAGCAGGAGGACUGAUCUACUACAAAAGAAAACACACAGCACACGUCAUAUAAGCUGGAAGUCAAUACAUUAGAUGUUCUGCACCUCUGCCAGCACUUAAGAGUGAACAUUGAGUAACAGACUAUCUAUCAACUUAUGAAAGACAUUAACCUUCCAUAACAUCUUCAGAGACACCAAACAACAAGUUCAACUGCAAUGCUGGUGUACACAACCGUUUUAUUGAUUGAUCAAAGAGAGAGAAGUUUUCCUCUGUGAUUAACUCCGCCUUUGUUCGUAACCACUCCCUCAAGCCCGAGCUGGCCCGCUUUGGACCAAGGUAUUCGGCGGGCCUAAAAACCCUGGCCGUUGGCCCCGAGGAAGCCCCGACGAGGCACGAUCAAGCCCCGGAAGUGACAGUGGAAACGCAACUGGCCCUGGCACGCACUAGCACGCCCGCUUUAGGCCCGACAGUGGAAAUGCGUCUAUUGAGUCCAUUGUGAAAAAGGCCCAGCAGAGGUUGUACUUCCUUCGCCAGCUGAGGGAAGUUCAACCUACCACAGGAGCUGCUGAAACAGUCUUACUCUGCCAUCAUUGAAUCCAUCCUCUGCACUUCUAUAUCUGUCUGGUUCAGCUCAGCUACCAAAUCUGACCUCAGAAGACUACAGAGGGUAGUCCGGUCUGCUGAGCGAAUCAUUGCUACAACCCUCCCCACUCUCCAAGAACUGUACUUAGCCAGAGUGAGAAAAAGGGCAAAGAAAAUCACUCUAGACCCCUCACAUCCAGCACACUCCCUCUUUGAACUGUUGCCAUCUGGUCGAUGCUACAGAGCUCUGAGCACCAGAACGACCAGACACAGGAACAGUUUCUUCCCUCAGGCAAUCCAUCUCAUGAACACUUGACAAACACGGAACACACAACACUAUUAUACAUUAUUUACUUAAAACACACUUAUUUAUAUUUCAAAUUUGCACACAUCAUAACUGUACACACAAAUUGUCUAUAUUAUAUAUUGUUUUUUGCUUUUUUUGCACUUUGUCUCUCUUGUAUAUUUGUAUAUUAUUCUUUUAUUCUUUUUAUUAUCUGUGUCUUGUCUUGUCGCUGUCACUCUGUUGCACUGUGGAGCUUCUGUCACUAAAACAAAUUCCUAGUAUGUGUAAACAUACCUGGCAAUUCAUGUUCUUCUCAUUUACCAGAAAAAGGUCUUUGUUAGUCACUUUUUUUAAUAAUUAACUUUUACAUGAUAGACAGUUACAUGUGCUUUGUCUCAACAGGAAAGUGAAAACUUGGGGAAUUUUGAGUCCUAAGCUGUGUCAAUAGCACUAGGUGUGUCAGGUGUUUAUGUAGGACACAAUCUCCCAUGACACUGAAAGGAAAAGUUUUUAUAACAUAACAGACACAAAGUAGAUUAUUCUAAUGCAACAAUUGUAUGCAACAAUCUUUUCAGUAACAACUGUAUAUGUGUUACCUACCUAAUGUUACAUUCUCUAGGGUUUUAAAGGGGACAUAUUAUGCUCCUUUUCACAAGAUGUAAUAUAAGUCUCUGGUGUCCCCAGAAUGUGUCUGUGAAGUUUCAGCUCAAAAUACCCCAUAGAUCAUUUAUUAUAGCUUGUCAAAUUUGCCCCUAUUUUGAUGUGAGCAAAAACACACUGUUUUUAUGUAUGUCCCUUUAAAUGCAAAUGAGCUGCUGCUCCCGGCCUCCUUUCCAAAAGAAGGCGGAGCUUUAACAGCUCGCACUUUGGUUGCUCAACAACAACAAAGCUGGAGAAUCUCACGCAGCCAAAAUGACGAUUGUCAGUAAUGGUGUUCAGCAUUACAUUGUUCAAACCGGAGUCAGACACUGAUGGAUACAUUUAUGUAGUUGCUGUGGAGUUGAUUGAACUCAUCGACUAGCAUGUGCCAUCAUGUUAAUCUUUUGUGCAAUUGACUUGACCCUCGUUUGUGAAGCAGCCCAGCAAAAAAUGACGGCAUGGCAACAACACUCUACUACAACAACUCUUCCUCUUCACUAAAGCAGCCCAACAUGGCCUCACUCCCUUUGUUGCAUGUUCUCGAGGGCAGGGUUUAUGUAAAAAAAAAAAAAAAAAUUGUCACCAACCCUGAAAGAAGCUUGUUGUAGUCCCUCCCAGCCAUUUAUUGUAGUCCUUAAAAAGUGAUUUCUGUAAAAGAAAAUAUCUCCCUUUG